rnacentral:lncRNA from 1 species
UUUGCGAACGCCUUGCACAGCAGAGGUAUCGUUCUGCAGCGCUCGUGCUGGGGAACUAAGCUGAAAAUCUUCAACAUCUCAUCGCUGGUUAUCUCCAGUAUUGUUGGUGAACAGCACUCUUGCUCGGGAGGAGUGUCUACUUCCAUGUCAGUCGGUGUUGCUCCUUUAAAACUCAUGGAGAUCAGAACAAUUUAGUCUUGAGUUUUUGAUUUCAAAAGAAUGACAAUAUAAUCGCAAC